CGACGCUGCGGCGUGCUAAUACAUGCAAGUCGAGCGAAGUUUUUUGGUGCUUGCACUAGAAAAACUUAGCGGCGAACGGGGUGAGUAACACGUAAAGAACCUGCCUCAUAGACUGGGACAACUAUUGAAACGAUAGCUAAUACCGGAUAACAGCAUUAACUGCAUGGUUGAUGUUUAAAAGUUGGUUUUGCUAACACUAUGAGAUGGCUUUGCGGUGCAUUAGCUAGUUGGUGGGGUAAAGGCCUACCAAGGCGACGAUGCAUAGCCGACCUGAGAGGGUGAUCGGCCACACUGGGACUGAGACACGGCCCAGACUCCUACGGGAGGCAGCAGUAGGGAAUCUUCCGCAAUGGGCGAAAGCCUGACGGAGCAACGCCGCGUGAGUGAAGAAGGAUUUCGGUUCGUAAAGCUCUAUUGUUAGGGAAGAAUGAUUGUGUAGUAACUAUACACAGUA
rnacentral:rRNA from 1 species